GUGAGCAUGAGAAGCUGCAAAAGAUAAAUCAACGAUAUCAGAUAAGCUACCUGUUGGUAUUUAUCUUCAGAAGCUAUAAUACAAGUGAUUAAUAAAAGAAAGUAAAAUAAAUAUUGUUGACGCCAACGCUUUCCGGAUUUACCAAAUAAUUUAGGUACACGAGAAAGCUGUCGAAAGUCGGUCAAUCAAGCGACUAGUGCGUCGACCUCGACAAAGGUCUACUGCCAGUACCGGAGAAAGCUCACUGAUUAAACACAUCUGGGUCAUUUGGGUCUGUUUAUUUAUAAAUAUCUGGAUCUAUAAAAGUCAACUGGGUACUAGUCUAUGAGGUAGAUGAAAGCGUGCAAAUAAUUUACCAGGAAGUGUCACUGCCUGUAUUUACGUUUGUUGAACCACCGAGGACAAUAUCUAAUUGCGCAACGCAUCCGGAACUAUUUAAACCGACAGAAUUUCAAUAGAAACAUUAAUUUCUCAUCAUUGAAAUAUUUAUUUGAAAAAAUAAUUCACGUAAAUAGAACCUGAAUAUUUAAAAAACAUAAUGACUAAUAAUAUUUAUUAUUUACAAUGAAAAUCAAUAGCAUGCUGACGAAAUGAAGAGCCACUAGAAUCAAUAAUACUCUUUAUAUUACUAGACACAGAAUAACU